GGGCCCGUAGCUCAGCCAGGUAGAGCGGCGGGCUCUUAACCCGUAGGUCCCGGGUUCAAAUCCCGGCGGGCCCG
rnacentral:tRNA from 10 species